rnacentral:rRNA from 1 species
UACGUAGGGGGCAAACGUUGUCCGGAUUUAUUGGGCGUAAAGAGCUCGUAGGCGGUCUGUCGCGUCUGCUGUGAAAACUCAGGGCUUAACCCUGAGCUUGCAGUGGGUACGGGCAGACUAGAGUGCGGUAGGGGAGACUGGAAUUCCUGGUGUAGCGGUGAAAUGCGCAGAUAUCAGGAGGAACACCGGUGGCGAAGGCGGGUCUCUGGGCCGUAACUGACGCUGAGGAGCGAAAGCAUGGGGAGCGAACAGG